rnacentral:lncRNA from 1 species
UUUUACAGGUAGAAGCUCUGAAUUAGCGUUGCCGGAUGUGAAAGGGAGCCAUGAAAAAACCCCAUUAAGCACAGUAGAUGUGAAGGUAAAGCGAGAAGAUUCUCCUGCCUUCAGUGAGUACAAAUGGUAUCGACUUCUUAUAUAAAACAUACAUUUUAAAUUCCUCGUUCCACUGUUAAUGUAUUAUGUUAAUUGGUGAUUAUUUUAAUAUUUUCAUGUUUUGAGCAAAUUAUUUAAAUAAAAAAGGCUUUAUUUUAUUACUUUCUUACGCAAGAUGCUGCCAAAGAGCUUGUUCACGCUCUAGUAAUCUCUCAUGGAUUACUGUAAUUCUCUCCUAAUUGGUCUCCCCAGAAGCCAUACUGCCCCCCUACAAUCUGUGGUGAAUGCUGCUGUCAGGCUGAUAUUUCUCUCCAGUCGCUCCUCUCACACCUCACUCCUCUGUCAAUCCUAACACUGGCUUCCUGUACCCUACAGGUGCCAAUUUAAAAUACUAAUCCUUACCAAUAAAGCUCUAACCAACUCUAGCCCCUCUUGCAUUUCUUCACUGAUUCAUAGGUAUGCCCCCUUUCGGUCUCUCCACUCUGUCUGCUGCUCGCACCCUUACUGCAAAUUCAUGUAUGUACGUAGUGGGGAAUGUGGUGCGACUAAGAGUAAGGAGACUACCCCACUUAUCCCCCCAAUAACGACAGACAACGAAUAUUGGAUGAAACAGGCCACAGCAUUUAUUAAACUUACAACUGUAGGACUCAUCCGAACUUUAUUCUUUUUCUUUAAUUCAAAUAUAAAUAAACAGAUAAAUAUAUAUACAUACCAUAAUUAACAUAUAAAUUACACUUAUUGCCCUACAGCCUCCAACUUAAAUAACCGUCCUUGCCAACAAACUUAACCAGGUGUCUAUGCACCAAAACUUCACCCACUGGUGUCUCGCCUCCCCCCUCGUCCAAACCAAAUUCCCAUCAUCUUAAAUGCUCUACCACCAGCCGGCUUUUUGCUCGGUGGGCACGUCCUAUUCGGUAACUUACCUUACAGAGCAGGGGAGGGUGAGACCCACCAUGUCCAUCUCCUGACAUUCCAUCUGCUCCCCAACCCUGUUGGCAAGGACACGCUCCCCGCUAGCUGUGACGGAACAAAAACAGAAAAUUAGGGGAGGUGUUUGCUGGCCAGAAUCCCAAAAGGCACUACCCCACUACAAACCCAUAACCACUCCCCUAAAUACAUACAGCCACUCCCCUAAACACACACAGCCACGCCCCUAAACGCAUACAGCCACUCCCCUAAACACAUACAGCCACGCCCAGAUAUACACAUAACCACUCCCCUAAACACAUACAGCCACUCCCUAUAUACACAUACAGCCACUCCCCUAAACACAUACAGCCACUCCCUAAACACAUACAGCCACUCCUAUAUACACACAUGCAGCCACUCCCCAUACACAUACAGCCACUCCCCAUACACAUACAGCCACUCCCCUAAACACAUACAGCCACUCCCCAUACACAUACAGCCACUCCCCUAAACACAUACAGUCACUCCCCUAAACACAUACAGCCACUCCCCUAAAUACAUACAGCCACGCCCAUAUAUACACAUAACCACUCCCCUAAACACAUACAGCCACUCCCCUAAAACGUACAGCCACGCCCAUGUAUACACAUAACCACUCCCCUAAACACACAGAGCCACGCNNNNNNNNNNNNNNNNNNNNNNNNNNNNNNNNNNNNNNNNNNNNNNNNNNNNNNNNNNNNNNNNNNNNNNNNNNNNNNNNNNNNNNNNNNNNNNNNNNNNAGCCUCGUCCAUAUAUACACAUAACCACUCCCCUAAACACAUACAGCCUUGCCCAUAUAUACACAUAACCACUCCCCUAAACACAUACAGCCUCGCCCAUAUAUACACAUAACCACUUCCCUAAACACAUACAGCCUCGCCCAUAUAUACACAUACAGCCACUCCCCUAAACACAUACAGCCUCGCCCAUAUAUACACAUAACCACUCCCCUAAACACAUACAGCCUCGUCCAUAUAUACACAUAACCACUCCCCUAAACACAUACAGCCUUGCCCAUAUAUACACAUAACCACUCCCCUAAACACAUACAGCCUCGCCCAUAUAUACACAUAACCACUUCCCUAAACACAUACAGCCUCGCCCAUAUAUACACAUACAGCCACUCCCCUAAACACAUACAGCCUCGCCCAUAUAUACACAUAACCACUCCCCUAAACACAUACAGCCUCGCCCAUAUAUACACAUAACCACUUCCCUAAACACAUACAGCCUCGCCCAUAUAUACACAUAACCACUUCCCUAAACACAUACAGCCUCGCCCAUAUAUACACAUAACCACUCCCCUAAACACAUACAGCCUCGCCCAUAUAUACACAUAACCACUCCCCUAAACACAUACAGCCAAUCACUAGCACCAUCCCCACACUCCGUUUAGCGGUGCUGACUCCCCAGGGCCUCGCCUGCAAGAAUUCUCACCGCUCCUUUCCUAUGGAACAGCCUGCCUCCCCCUGUCAGACUCGCCCCUGGUCUUCAAUCAUUUAAGAAAUCCCUCAAAACCCAUCUUUCCAGGAUUGCUUAUGGCCUCCGAGAGUAAGGCUAUAAUCUCGCUCUCUCCUAUAGGGCCACACUCCACUCUCACCUCCAGCUCGGCUAGUUUCCCACCACGUCUAUUUGCUGUCUCUCUCAAUACCCUUCCUGUUGUGUUUUCAUGUUUUUCUGGUAGGUUACUGCGUGGCCUGGAUACAGUGCAGUAAGGAGAGCUGCCUAAAGUGGAGGAGGCUGAGAGAAGAGAUGGAUCCGUCACUUUUAGCUGAUGAUUGGUCUUGCAAGCAGAAUAUAGGUAUUUUAUCACCAUGAGCUGUGGAGCUAAUUCACAAAUUUUAGGUAUUUUUCUCCCCUCUGCCUCUUUGUGUGUCACUUCCUCCCACCAAUUCCUCUGUGUGGCUGUUUCUCCCCUUCUCGGGACCCUCUGUGUGCCUUUUCUCCCCCAGCCCCUUUGUGUGUCAUUCUUCCCCCCCAACGCUUUGCAUGUCUCUUUUUGUCCCUUUCCACAGGCUCUCCGUGUCUUUCUCACUUCCCCACUCUCUCUGAGUGUCUCUUUCUCCCCUUACCCAGUCCCUCAGAGUGUCUUUGUCCAUUUCCCUCUGGGUGUCUCUUUGUCCCCUUCCCCAGCCCUUUUGUGUGUGUAUCCCCUUCUAUAUCUCUCCAUGUAGUGUGGCCAAACGGACUAUCUGAUCUGACGAGAAGCUGUUUGUUGCUCUAAGUGAGCACCUCCUGUCAGACUGGAUGGCCACAGUGUGACUGUGCUGUGCUCUCUGCUCCUGCCAGUCACCCUCACCCAGAGGCCCUGUUGUGGGCCACUCAUUAAUAUGUCAAUGCCAACUGGCACAUCCCCUGUUCUGUUUCUAUAUGGCUAUUACUUUCUGUGUUACAGAUCCUUUGUAUAACAGCUGUGCAAUUUCAGAGGAAACCUGGUUAGAUUGUGAUCAUGAUACCGUGUAUGCGCUCUUUAUACCUGGGUCAAUUGUGUGGGCAAAGCAGCAUGGCUACCCAUGGUAAGACCGUCACUCAAUACCUACUAUAAUGUGUGAUUUACUCUGACACCUAUAUCAACAGCUUUCGGCCUCUCCCAUCUCCCCUCCAAGCUAUACUAUUGAGAAUUUACAGCCUGAUACGUCGUAUCGCCAAUUUGCCACCUCCUUUCUCCUCUCUAAGUGAUAAAUGUUUCAAUGGGACACUAAAGUCACAAACACAACUUUAGCUUAAUGAAGCAGUUUUGGUGUACAGAUCAUGCCACAGAAGUUUCAGUGCUACACUCUCUGAAAUUUAGGAGUUAAAUCACUUUUGUUUCUAUUUAUGCAACCCUAGUCAUAUGUCGUCCUGCAUUAAAAAAAUCAUUCUAACACAUGUAGCAGGCAGCUGCAGUCUGUAGCAGGCAAUUAACACAACAUGACUUCUAAAUAAACACCCUGUGCAAUAAGGGAAGAUAAACAAUGUUGACUCUUUUCAUAAAGUGUAUAUGGAGGCGGUGUUGGUCAAAACCAGGAAAGGUGUAGCUAGGGCUUCAUAAACAGUAAAAGUAGUGAUUUAACUCCUAAAUGGCAAAGAAUUGAGCAGUGCCAUAAUCUAUACAAUGAAACCACUUGAUUUAAGCUAAAGUUGUUUUGAUGCUUUGCGUAUCCCUUUAAGGGCUUUCAGUCCAUACAAUAUAUCAUACCCUCCUCUCCAUUCUACCCUACAUUCUAUUUAUAUUAGGGUCUUACAUAUGUCUAUCUUAACACAAUCAAUACUGACUUACUGUCACAGGUUUAACUAACGUUGUUAUUUAUUCAAUCUAUAGGUGGCCAGCAAUAGUUGAUUAUGACCCGGACAUAGCAGAAUAUUUUUUGUUUGAAAAUUCAGCUGAUCAGUUUCCC